AGUGUUUUUGAGCAAAUCAGCCGAAAGUCUGCGACGCAAAGCUAGAGGACCUGUAAAAUGGUAGUCAGUUGUCACG
rnacentral:ncRNA from 2 species